UUGGCUUAAGUUUAGAUCUAGGCCAGAGUCAUGGAAGGGCUACAUCCAUGAGGGAAAGUUUUAGGAGGAGGAAUGAGGCGAAGGAGAAUUUUGAAAAAAUUUAUGGAAGAGCUUGCCAUGAAAAUGAGUGAGAUGGUUUGAACUAAAGAGAUUAGCUGAAUGGAUUGAGGUCUUAUGAGGAGAUCAGGGAUCAAGUUGAGAUGUCUCUUGAUAUGCCGGACUGUGUAUUUAUACUUGAAAAAUCAAUCCUUUAGUCUCAGCAAUUAUGGUUUAAGAAGGCUCUUGUUUUUGAAAUCAAGAAUUUUUGGA
rnacentral:misc_RNA from 1 species